GCACUGCUGAGGAGUUCCACAAUAGGACGAAACGGCCGUCCACUGC
rfam:Schistosoma mansoni strain Puerto Rico chromosome 1, complete genome